AUGUUGAUGUAUGAUGUUGAAGUAAGACAUGAAAUACUUGUACAUGAUGCUUAGAUGGUGGUAUGCACACCAAGUGUUUGAUGAAAUGGAUAUGUGGAAUUAAUAGAUGAAAUUGUAUGCAAGUGAUGGAUGAAAAUGCAUAGAACGCGGAUAUGACGUUGUGAUAGUAAACUAAGCGUGAUAAAUAUGUUUUAGAUGGAAUAUAUGUGUGAAAUUUAGUUGAUGGGAUGAUUUGGUAAGAAGCACACAUUAAGGGCUUGUACUAUAUGCUUGAAAGGUAUGAUAUAUAUUAACUGAAGCAUGGAAUGCUAGCGGGUUAAGAGGAUUCAAGGAAGCGAACGCGAAUACGGACGCUUAAGGACGUUCAAACGAGUGUCACAUUUUGUAAAAGAAUGAAAUUCGGGAGCCGGUGCUAUAGACGAAGUCGCCGACGACCAUAAUCCAAGUCGCCAACGUCGGGAAAAUAAGUCGCCAAUGCCGAACACAAUCACGAGAAGGAUUCAACACUUGAAUCAAUCAUAUGUGUUAAAGUGUAAUACAUAUGUCUUA
rnacentral:lncRNA from 1 species